rnacentral:lncRNA from 1 species
UUGAUGGCCUAGUGGUUUCAAUGUGAUUUCUCACACACAACUGCUAGAGGUCACGAGUUCGACUCUCUGUCGGCGGGGUGGAACUGAAACCUCUCCAAAUAAAAUUCUGUUGUAGAUGGCCCACGGGUUUCUAUGACGCAUAUAGGAUUUUCCUGGAUAUGGGGUCUUUCGGGGUAGGGUCGGUCACUAUAAAAAGUUUACCCUAACAGUUUUUGCCCAAGCAUCCGUGGUCUAGUGGCAGAGCAAGCUUU